rnacentral:rRNA from 1 species
UACGUAGGUGGCGAGCGUUAUCCGGAAUGAUUGGGCGUAAAGGGUGCGUAGGCGGAUUUUUAAGUGAGAUGUGAAAUACUCGGGCUCAACUUGAGUGCUGCAUUUCAAACUGGAAGUCUAGAGUGCAGGAGAGGAGAAUGGAAUUCCUAGUGUAGCGGUGAAAUGCGUAGAGAUUAGGAAGAACACCAGUGGCGAAGGCGAUUCUCUGGACUGUAACUGACGCUGAGGCUCGAAAGCGUGGGGAGCAAACAGG